GUGUGUCUCUGUGUCUCUGAGUAUGUCUGUCUGUGUGUCCUUGUGUGUGGCUGUGUGUGUGUGUGUGUGUGUGUGUGUGUGUGUGUGUGUGUGUGUGUGUGUGUGUGUGUGUGUGUGUGUGUGUGUGUGUGUGUGUGUGAAGAACUAAUAAUGAAGAAAGAGGUCAUUAGUCUGAGCAGCAGUACAGGAACACAGAAGGGACUGAAUGGGGAAGAUGAAACUGACACAAAUACAAUACACAGAAAUUCUCAAAAUGAUGUGACUUUUUAUUAAGAAUGGAGAUUGAGCAUGCUUUUAAGAGAAGUCAAUGGAAGUAUCUUUAAAAAUGACAGAAAAAAGGAAGAGAGAGAAGGGAAAGGGAACAAAGAGAUGAGAGAGAAAGAUGGAUUAAUUGCGUCUGUCUAAAAUACGUGGACAGGCGCAUUGGGACAUGAUCUCUUUCAAAUCGGACAGUACUGACAGGAAACAAGUAUGCUACUUGGCAUUGAUACUAGAAGAUUCCACGCGGAGAGCAAGGCAGGGUCUAUGGAGCAGCAGCUGCCUUUGAACUCCAUGGGAUCAAGGAUGACUCUGAGAGUCUGACCCUUACACCUUGACCUUCUGAGACCAAGAUCAAAGGUGUACCAGAAUAACCGCUGCACGGGCUUCCCGCCUGCCGGGCAAGCAUGUGUCAACAGAGCUCUUCCCAGGCUCACUUGUCAGGUUCGGAAUCUCAAUCUCAUUGCUUCCUCGAGCCGUGUUAUGUGAGAGGAAACACAGGACUCGGGCAAAGAACAAUAUCUGGUACUCAGCUUGUCUGUGAGAAAGGAAGCAGAGUUUGCACAGCAUGUCCAGAGCCUUCCACAUGUGACACACACCAUACCGCCACCUUCCAACAGAGCAAACUCACAGUCCCUAGUGUCAGAUCCGAGGUCUAAGUCACUGAUGGCAUCACUCUCUAAGAGAUCCUAUGUUGUCAAUUUCUGCAUCCAGUACUUGUCUGAAGUCAAGGAACUUCUGUCUCAGCUCCACGGGGCGGUCUGCUACUUCACUACCCCAGUUCUACUUCUGACACUAACAUACUCCUCACGCCCGCUGAUGCCCCAAACCUCCUCUGGGAAGACAUCGUGGGCUGACAGUAACCAGACACCAUAACCAGACCCUAGUGAUCUCUAAACAACACCCCCCCCCCAGCCUUGUUAGCUGCUGGUGGAGAGCAUGUCCUACGACCUUGUUUGCCCUGUCACCCAUUUCUAGCAAUUAUUACUCUAAAUAAUUAUGAUAAAAGCUUUGAAUUCUAGGUGGCACAGACCCGAGUGUCUGAAGCCAUAGCAGGGCUGAGAUAAAGAAGCUUGUCCCUACAGGAAAACUCACUCCCAGGAGUUCACACGAAUGCAUCGCUAUGGUGUGCAGCCAGUAUCAAACUAGUAUGCAGUUAAGACUGUCUCCAUGAAACCAACCUCUGCACAAACCACGGCUUCCUCAUCCCCUUCAGGGCCAUAGUUUUUUACCCCAAAGAGACAUUAAAGACACCCCUCCCGAGGUUUUUCCUCUUAGGCUUCAAUCAAACCCUUAAGUGAGGGGAGCCCUGUGGCUUUCGUAAUUGGGAAACCAAGCCCAUGAGAGCUUCAAACCCUUCACACACACCCCAAGCCGCUACCACACUGCGGAAGGCAGACUUUCUCUUACUGCGAAUAGAUUUCUGUUCUCUGUGGCUCUGAAAGCGGCACCAUGGCACAAGGGUGCUGGCAGAAUUCUAAAUGAUCGCACCAGAAUGUCUGUGACUAGAUGAUGGUGGCAUAGUCCACAUCUGUCUGAGGCUGGCAACAAAGCAGAGGAGUAACAUGCCGAGAUACCAUCGGCAUGCUGCCUCCUGACAGUGGAAUAAAAAGCUCUGGGAAAAGGCAGCCUUCAGACAGAGAUGCCCCAAACUGACAGCUGCUGUGUGAAGAGAGACAGGGAAGAGUUAGCCCAUCUCCCUCCUUUCUCUCUGCUUCUGGGUCAGGUUUAAAACCCCCAGCUCAUCAGUGAGCUGUCAGGAUGGUUGUCUAACCAAGGUUCUCUGCUCAGAUCCAAAUGACCCCCUGAUGUCUCUUCUUAUCCAUAGAAAUAGAGAGGGGACCUUUCCCCCCCCCCCCCGCUCCUUCCCUGCUCGAGAGGUCAGAGAAGAUUGGGAAUUUGGAACUAACCCUGAGGUCACAGUUAAUAGUGUCUGAACCCAUGCUCUCAAGCCCAGUUGGAAAAUGAGCAACAGCAAGGGGUCUCUGAAUAACGAAUGACCAAAAAUUUACUCAAAAAUCAUAUGCACCAGGAGUCCAAGGGGUUUCUGGUGGUACUAACCCAUGUCCCAUCUCAGGACGUCAUGACAUCACAGAAACCUUCUCUUUCUGUGUCUCUGUGUCUCUGUGUCUGUCUGUCUGUCUGUCUGUCUNNNNNNUCUCUCUCUCUCUCUCUCUCUCUCUCUCUCUCUCUGUGUGUGUGUGUGUGUGUGUGUGUGUGUGGUGCAUGCACAUGCCACAACAUUCAUGUUGAGGUCGGUACUCAUGGGAGUCGAUCGUCUCCUUCCACCAUGGGAAAGGUUUGAACAACUCUCUUUUAAGUCUCCUUUCAAGUUGCCAUCUCACCAGCUAAAAAUAUUUGGCUUUUCUACCUAGUUUGUAUACCUAGGUACUGGGACCAAGUAGAAAUCUCUCAAGCGGUAAAGGACCAGAGGUAGGAAAGGUUUAAUGAGACAGAAUGUAACUCUCACUGUGUGCUCACACAGGUACACUUAUGUAUAGUUAUGCUUAUGAAUUAUUUGUGAUUUGUUUAGAGUAAAAUUGCAUGGACUAUUGAAU
ensembl:antisense Gm16142 predicted gene 16142